UACGUAGGGUGCAAGCGUUAAUCGGAAUUACUGGGCGUAAAGCGUGCGCAGGCGGUUUUGUAAGUCAGAUGUGAAAUCCCCGGGCUUAACCUGGGAACUGCGUUUGAAACUACAGGGCUAGAGUGUGGCAGAGGGGGGUGGAAUUCCACGUGUAGCAGUGAAAUGCGUAGAUAUGUGGAGGAACACCGAUGGCGAAGGCAGCCCCCUGGGUCAAAACUGACGCUCAUGCACGAAAGCGUGGGGAGCAAACAGG
rnacentral:rRNA from 1 species